CACAAAAAGUUACUGGAAGGAGUAAAAAUAUAAACUCUCUCAGAGAGCGAAUGUGAUUGCCAAUCACGUGUUAACGUUGAAGGAUGCAGAGAGCGAAUCAGCUGUUGCACUUCAAGUGAUUGCCAGUCACAUGUAAACGUUGCCUAGUACAUGACCCAACAGGAGAGAGCAUCUUCCAUUGAAGGAUAAGAGGUGUAUGUACUCUGAAAGGAUCAAAGAUGAUUGCCAAACAUGACAGUUGUGACAUGAUUAAGGAUUAUCCGUUGAUUCUUAGAGAUUUCCCCAAUCAAAUCCCCUUCUAAUGGUGCUAAAAGGUGAGCUGGGGUUCUCUUAUUCUGCCAGUGCAUUUUUGCACA